rnacentral:rRNA from 1 species
GACGAACGCUGGCGGCGUGCUUAACACAUGCAAGUCGAACGGAAAGGCCCUGCUUGCGGGGUGCUCGAGUGGCGAACGGGUGAGUAACACGUGGGUGAUCUGCCCCUUACUUUGGGAUAAGCCUGGGAAACUGGGUCUAAUACUGGAUAGGACCAUGCUGUAGGUGGGGUGGUGGAAAGAUUAGUUUCGGUAAGGGAUGAGCUCGCGGCCUAUCAGCUUGUUGGUGGGGUAAUGGCCUACCAAGGCGUCGACGGGUAGCCGGCCGGUGAGGGUGGACGGCCACAUUGGGACUGAGAUACGGCCCAGACGCCUACGGGGGGCAGCAGUGGGGAAGAUUGCACAAUGGGGGCAAGCCUGAUGCAGCGACGCCGCGUGGGGGAUGACGGCCUUCGGGUUGUAAACUCCUUUCAGCCAUGACGAAGCCCUUGUGGUGACGGUAGUGGUAGAAGAAGCACCGGCUAACUACGUG